CGGGGUAUGGUGUAACGGCUAACAUGCUUGCUUUGGGAGCAAGAGAUUCUGGGUUCGAAUCCCAGUACCCCGA
rnacentral:tRNA from 1 species